ensembl:lncRNA
CAGGUAUUUCAUGCUGGCUCUACGCUUAACAACAAGCUGUGUGCGUACAGGUCCAGAAGAAGUACAGUAUGAGAGAUAGCUAGCCUAUCAUGGCUGAAGAGGACCACUAAGGUGGUACCCAGCAGUUACUGUGUUGUCUAAAGCCCAAGCUGAUCGAUGCUCUGAGUGCAGACCCUAACUUUGUGCAGCAGCAUUCAGACUCUCUCAGACUAAUGUCCCGGCGUGAGUACCAGCAGGUCAAAGCCCUCACUGAGGCAUUAGAAAAGGCCCGGGACCUUCUGAACCAUGUGAUCCACAAAGGAGUCGCUGCUGCAGAGGAGUUACUGCAGUUCCUGAUAGUCAAUGAACUGCAAGAGACGUUUCCAAAACUUCCAUUCCUCAAGAAACUGUCAAUGAAUCAUCAAAGAGCUGCAGGGGGAAAUUAAUUUACCAGAAAGAGAAGAAGAGAAGACAAACCAUUGAGUCAGAAGAAACCCUUCCUGCUAAACAGACAAGCAAGAAUAGUUAGUUUUCCUGCCGGAACAGGAUCUGGCACCUCAGAUUUGACUUUGUUUGUUUCGGCACCUAUUUACCCGGAUCCAGUACCUCUCAUGAUUUAUUCCAUUUUUCACUGGUCGUACUGUAAACAUUUUAAUAAAAGCGA